rnacentral:rRNA from 1 species
UUGAACGCUGGCGGCAGGCCUAACACAUGCAAGUCGAGCGGAUGAAGGGAGCUUGCUCCUGGAUUCAGCGGCGGACGGGUGAGUAAUGCCUAGGAAUCUGCCUGGUAGUGGGGGAUAACGUCCGGAAACGGGCGCUAAUACCGCAUACGUCCUGAGGGAGAAAGUGGGGGAUCUUCGGACCUCACGCUAUCAGAUGAGCCUAGGUCGGAUUAGCUAGUUGGUGGGGUAAAGGCCUACCAAGGCGACGAUCCGUAACUGGUCUGAGAGGAUGAUCAGUCACACUGGAACUGAGACACGGUCCAGACUCCUACGGGAGGCAGCAGUGGAGAAUAUUGGACAAUGGGCGAAAGCCUGAUCCAGCCAGGCCGCGUGUGUGAAGAAGGUCUUCGGAUUGUAAAGCACUUUAAGUUGGGAGGAAGGGCAGUAAGUUAAUACCUUGCUGUUUUGACGUUACCAACAGAAUAAGCACCGGCUAACUUCGG